UUUUUUUUUUUUUUUUUUUUUUUUUUUUGUCUUUUUGACAUUUCUUGGGCUUCUCCCGCAGCAUAUGGAGGUUCCCAGGCUAGGGGUCUAAUCAGAGCUGAGCUGCCAGCCUACGCCAGAGCCACAGCAACGUGGGAUCCGAGCCACGUCUGCGACCCACACCACAGCUCACGGCAACGCCGGAUCGUUAACCCACUGAGCAAGGGCAGGGACCGAACCCUCAACCUCAUGGUUCCUAGUCGGAUUCGUUAACCACUGCGCCACGACGGGAAUUCCUUUCCUUCCUUUUGCAUUUGUUAUAGAACAGCCUCUUCCGCCCUCUCCUUUAUGGGGGCAUGAGAAAUCCAGAAGGUAGGACGUCCUACAAGACUCUUGGGCUUUAGAAAAGAGGUCGCUUCCGUGUGAAAGAAACAGACACCAAAGGUGGAGGCUGUUCCUCCACGGACGGAGGCCACGCUGGUCACUAGAUACAGUGGGGUUGGGACAGGGCUCUGGUGCUCAGGAAACAGCCACCAAGCCCCAAAGACACACUCGAGGGGUGACAUGGAAAUUUCUGAUUUGGGGCUGGAUACCAGGUGACAUAAGGAUGGGGGUUUUGUGCUGAGGUACAUGCUGGAAUAUCUGGGGUCAUGGGCAUGAUCGUUGCCUGCAAAUCACUGCCAGGUGGUUCAAUGAAAAGUGUGUGCAGAUUGAUAAAUAGAUAGAUGACAGGGAGAUAUAUCAACAGAUGACAGAUAGAUAGAUUUUAUGUAUGUGUCAAAGAGAUGGUAGAGAGACAGGUAGGUGACAUCAAUCAAUAGUUAGAGGAUAUAUAGCUAGACGACAAGUAGACAAAGAUAAAUAGAUGAGGUACAGGAGAGAGAAGACAGAUAAACAGGACCGACGGGUGACAGAUAAAACAGCUACAGACUCCUCCCACAACUUAGUGCUCGUACACACAUAAACUUCACACAAAUGCCAAGUCUCCUCUAUGGGAUCCUAGAACUUUCCCAAAUCUAAGUUUUCUGAGACACUCGACGAGAGCUUCCUUCCUGCCUCCCCCCACCACUGGUCUCUGUCCAUAGACCAGGCACUUCGUCCUGCCUGCCCCUGCUAGGUGCUGCCCCGUGGCAUCUGCAGAGUUGCUCCCCACCACCAGCCUGGCUGCUCUGUGCCCUCACCACACUCAGCCAUCCUUCUGAGACCUAAGCCUGGCCCCAUACAUCUCUGGUGUAUUCCUGCCCUCCCGACCCUGCACUCUGGGGCACUGUGGACAUUCAGGGCGGGUUACCCUGUGGGGGGCCGUCCCGGGUGCUGCAGGGGAUGGAGCAGUCUCCCUGGCCUCCACCCACUCAAUGCCAGGGGCCCCUCAGUUGUGAGGACCACGGAUAUCCCCAGGCACCUUAGGGUCAUGGGUUGGGGGCUUCACUGUGGCCGACUUGCAGACCCAGGAGGCGAUGAGGGAGAGGCUGCAGUCAGACCCUUCCUGAGCUUCUGCAUCUGGAGAUGCUGCUUGGACCAACUGUUUCCUAAUGGGAUCCGGGGUCUCUCCUACCCCCUAGACCUCCUCUGUGCCCCCAUCCUCUACUUAGGGAGGGCUCCGAUGACCAGGGCCCUGGAAGGUGGACAGACAAGAUGCUCCUUGGGUGGUGAUUUCUAUGAUGAGAAUCUCAGCUGCAACGGAGCUGGGCUGAGGUCUGGCAGCAUCCCCAGGCCCCAGGGAGCCAGUGGAUCCAGCACCUGGGCCUGGGAGCACCCGGGGGCUGGGGCUGUUAUGACAACGUGGAAUAGGAUGCACAGGGCAGGCCCCACUACCCCGACUGGUCAGGGGCUGAAAGGAGGCUUUGCCCAGGAGGGAGGGGAGCACAGCUGGGCUGCUGAGUCAUCUCGGGGCUCCUGCAUUUCACAAAAGGUUAUUAACUCCAGGCAGCAUCAUGCCAACCACUGUAGCAUGAAAGGAACAAGAUGCUGGCUCAGGCUCCAGGGGUCCCCAGGAGCAUCUGACCAUCACUCGUGAAACAGAAUUCAGAGAUACCAGGAAAGCCCAUGACUAAUUUCCUCAGAGGGUCUUCAUCUCAGCCAGGGUGCCCCCGCCCCCACACUGCUAACAUCACAGGUCAUUCUCUGUGGGGGGAUGUCCUGGGGUCUGUGGGGGUGCAGCACCCCUGGCCCCCACACCCUAGAUGCCAAAAGCCCCCCAGUCGUGACAACCACAGAUGUCCUAGACAUAGCCCAGCGUACCCUGGGAGGUGCAGUCGCCUGGGGGGAGACCCUUGCUAGGGGACGGCCAGUCCCCACACCCCGCUACUGCACACAUCAGGAAUAGGGCCAUAGUCAGGACUAAACACAUCAGGGUGAGAGUGAGGGAGGAAAGAGGCCUGAUGUUGGGCUCUGGGCUCAGAAGGAAACAGGGUCAUGAAGACAUGAUGAGUCAGAGAGAGCAUUUGGCUUACAGGCCCCGGCUGGCUCAUCUCUGAGGAGCUGGUGACGGCACUUUCCUUCCCAGAAAACUGAGAGGUAUGGAUCCACCCUCAGAUAAGGACGGGGGCCCUUGCUGCAGGAUUACGUGGAAGGGAAGCUUGGUUAAAUCUGCGAGCUUCCGUCUUGGUGGCCCCUCUCCCUGUUCUCAGCGUGGAGCCACGUGGCAGCACCUUGCUCGGCAGACACUUACGAGCGGCCCUCACUCCCUUCUGCAGCUUCGCUGGGUUUCCUGAGUGUACGUGUAGGAAGGAAGGACUGUCUAGGUCAUGGCCCCCACCUUUGCUUCCUGGCUCGGGGCUGGCGGCAGGAUCCCCCACCUGGCAGAGAAGGGGCCAGGGAGCAGCACUGGGGACCACGAGGCCGGGCAGGGGUGCUGGGCAGCGGGGGCCAGCAGGAUCCGGAGGGUGGUGUCCUUGAGCAAAGGAAACUCAUGGUGGGAGAAGGUGUCUGCAAACGUGUGAAGGGGCAAGUGACAAGGAAAGUGGAGGUACUGGCUUGGAAUUAGGAUCUCGGUGUGACCGCACAGCUUCUCUAGUAGGUAAGUAAAUAGACAGACGGAAAAGUGCUAGAAAAAAAAUGUACAUACAUAGAUUCUUAGAUACAUGACACAUGGAUAGAUAGGUAGGUAAACAGCAGAUACAUCUAGCCACCUAGAAGCCAUGACACCUCAAAGGCCCACGAGAAGCCAGGGCUGUCCCCAAACAGGGCUUGAUGGUCCAGGUGAGAUGUCCUUCAUCUGGCACCACAAGACCUAAGGAUUUCUCUGUAGCCGUGGAGCAGCGGACCCCAGCUGUUCUCUGAACCCAGUCACCAAUCCCAGACAUGUGCCCGAGAUCUCAAACUUACAGAAGCAGGUCUCAUUGCUUGGCCACCAACAUCUGGCCCAAGGGGAGACUUGCUCACUCCCAGAUUCAACCAGGGAUGGGCACAGAACAGCUCAGGCCCCAUCCAGCCAACAGCUUGCUUUUGUAAAUAAAGUUUUAUUGGAACACAGCCGCCCACAUUCAUUUACAAGUAGCUUUUGGAGUCCACAUGGCAGAGUGGGAGAGUUGCAACAGAGGCCUUCUAGGCUCCAAAGUCAAAAAUAGUUGUUCCCUGGCCUUUCAGAGAAAAAGUCUGCCAACCUCUGCAUGAAGUUGACCUCGGGUGGCUGACAGCUCUCGAUGGCGUUGGGCAUGUUGCUGGUCCUCCUCUGCUGAAAGGCUUCUGGCACUUCUGCUCCAUUGUCACAAGGGGACUGCUGAGCUCCCUGCUGCCUCUCUGAGCUGAGAGAGAGGAUGUGCUGGGGGCCCUGGCCUUCACUGUCCUGGUUGGAAGCUUCUGAACACAGUCUCUUUCCAGGCCAGGGACUGCCACUCAGAGGGCUAUUGUCCCUCGCUGCCAGGGCCCUCACAGGGGCUGCUGGGCCUGUGUGUUUUUAACUGCCCUCUUCCACUAAGCUCCCCAGUGUCCUUUUUGCUUUUAAUUUCUGCUUUAAAAAGUAAUUUUUGAAAAAUUUUGUAAUCAUUACAGAUCCACAGGAAGUUGCGAAAACAAUGUGCAGGAAGUCCUGUGGACCCUUCCCCUGGCCUCCCCAGGGGUAGCAUCUUGCAUAAUUAUAGUCAGUAUCAUAACCAGUGUAUCUUCAUCUGCUUGGACUGCAGGGAUACCACAGGCUAGGGGAGCUUAAAGCACAGACAUUCGUUUCUCUGGUUCUGGGGGCUGGAAUCUGAGAUCAGGGUGUAGGUGUGGCUGGUUCCUGGUGAGGGUUCCCAUCCUGGCCUGCCUUCCUGCUGAGUCCUCACCCAGCAGAGAGUGCUCUGGUCUCUCUUCCUCUCCUUAUAAGGACACUAAUCUCACAGAGGGGGUCCACCCGCAUGACCUCAUCUCCUCAUGUAACCCUAAUCCUUCCUAAAGGCCCUACCUCCAAUAUCCUCCCACCUUUCAGCCAUGGGGUGGGGGGGUUUAGAUUAGGGCUUCUACAUAGGAAUUGACACAAACAUUCAGUCCAUUGCAACCAGGAAACUGACACUGAUACAACCAUAGAGCAUACUCAGAUGUCCCUGGUGUUCUGUGCACGUGUGUGUGUGUGUGUGUUACACUAGGGACCCCAUGCUGUACCCCAGCCAGGUCUCCUCUCAAAUCUCCCAUGCGCCUCUCAGCCUUCCUACAUCAUUCCCACCUCUACUCCUGCAUCUGGUCCCCUCCUCCUUGUCCAGGCCAUGGGAGCAGGGAGGGCGCCCCUGGGCCCUGAGCACAGAGAGUUGUGCAAUGUUUAUUAUCAUUUAAAACAUCACCACCCAUGAUGGAAGACAGUAUAAGAAAAGGAAUGUAUAUAUAUGUUUGACUGGAUCAUUUUGCUGUACAGUAGAAAUUGGCACAUUGUAAAUCAACUAUAAUUUAAAAACAGUGAAAAAAAAAGAAAAAAGAAAACAUCACUGUACAGUGCUACAACACAGAUGAACCCCAAAAUGUGCUAGACACAAAAGACCACAUACGGUGUGAUUCUACUUACAGGAAGCAUUGGGAACAGGCAAAUCUACAGAGACAGAGAGUGGGUUAUUGGAUGCCAAGGGCUGGGGCGCUGGGGGGCUAGGAGAGAUUGAUAGGGGGACAGGGUCUCCUUUGGGGGUAAUGGGAAUGUUCUGGGUGUACAUGGUGGCGGGGGUUGUCAACUCUGUAAAUAUAUUAAAAACUGUUGAGUUUGUACACUUAAAAUGGUAAAGUUUAGAGUAUGUAAUUUUUUCUCCAUAAAGCUGUUAGAAAAUAAAUGAUAGGCAACAUUAUCAAGAGGUUAGGCCCUUCAUCCAAAUGAACUUUUCAAAGGCAUAGGUUUUUAAAAGCAUUAGUUAUAUAUUUUUUAAAGGAUUGAAAGAGUUAUGGGGAAAACAGAUCAGGUAAGGGAAAACGAGAAGGAGAUUUUCAAUUUUAUCCAUUGAGCACAUAAUCAUUUUCACAUAGUUUAUAGAUUAGAAAACCAGGGCUUAGAAAUGGUAGAAUUAUGUGAAUUGUAUGUCAGUAAAAGUGCUCCCCAUCAAUUGAUCAAUCCAUCCAUCCAUCUACCCAUCCACCCGCUUAUCCAUCCAUCCAUCCACCCACCCAUCCAUUCAUCUGUCCAUUCAUCCACCCAUCCACCCAUCCAUUCACACACACACACACACACACACACACACACACACACACUUGCUCAAAAUGGAAGAAACACAAAUAGAAUUCAGGAUUUAUAAAUCAUGGUCCAAUACUAUUCUUAUCCUUUAAAAAUGUCAACACCUAUUUUAUUUCUCAAAGUUGAGCACGAUUCUUAUUAGUACAUUGUUCCCUGGAUUCCUGAUGCUCUUGGUAACCUAGCAACGUGACGUCUCUCAGAGGAUAAGGUGGAACAUUCUCCUGCAGCAUGUUCCACUCACAAAUAAGCGCUCCGCACUCAGAGGGCUGUACGAACCAAUGAUUCGGAGGGUAAAAGUUAGCAGCCCUCCUCGGCAUCUGUUACAAGAUUUGUAAAAAACACUUCUAGGUGCCCGUACUAUUUCCCACGCUACCCUGUCUCCACUCUGCCC
rnacentral:lncRNA from 9 species